GAUAAACGCAGGCGGCGUGCAUAACACAUGCAAGUCGAACGAUGAGACUGAGCUGAUUUUUUUGGGAUCGAAAUUAAGUGGAUUAGUGGCGAACGGGUGAGUAACACUUGAGUAACCUGCCUUACACAAGGGGAUAGCCUUCGGAAACGAAGAAUAAUACCCUAGGACGUCAAAAUAUCGCAUGAUAUAGUGACCAAAGAUUGAUCGGUGUAAGACGGACAUGCGUGUGAUAAGCUAGUUGGUGAGAUAAAAGCCCACCAAGGCGACGAUCAGUAGCCGGCUUGAGAGAGUGUACGGCCACAUUGGGACUCAGACACGGCCCAAACUCUUACGGGAGGCAGCAGUGGGGAAUUUUGCACAAUGGGGGAAACCCUGAUGCAGCGACGCCGCGUGAUUUAGAAGGCCUUCGGGUUGUAAAAAUCUUUUUUAUGGGAUGAAAAUGACAGUACCAUAAGAAUAAGGUCCGGCUAAAUACGUGCCAGCAGCCGCGGUAAUAAGUUUGGACCCAGCGUUGUCUGGAAUCAUUGGGCGUAAAGGGUACGUAGGCGGCCUAGUAAGUUAGAAGUGAAAUAAUAUAGCUCAACUAUAUAAAGCUUUUAAAACUGUUAGGCGUAAGAGAUGAAAGGGAAAGUGGAAUUCCUAGUGUAGCGGUGAAAUGCGCAGAUAUUAGGAAGAAUACCGGUGGCGAAGGCGACUUUCUGGUCAUCAUCUGACGCUGAGGUACGAAAGCGUGGGUAGCAAACAGG
rnacentral:rRNA from 1 species